GUGCUUGCUUCAGCAGCACAUAUACUAAAACUGGAACGAUACAGAGAAGAUUAGCAUGGCCCCUGCGCAUGGAUGACAUGCAAAUUCGUGAAGUGUUGCAUAUUUUU
rnacentral:snRNA from 1 species